UUAUUUGAACAAGUUUAGAUUUUAGAAAAUAAAUAAAAUUUUAUCAUAUAUUUUUCAAGGUAUUUUUUUUGUAUAGAGCAAUUUUUUAAAAUAAAUAAAUUAAAUCUUCUGGAAAUUUUUGUAAUCUUAAUUCAAAACAUUGUAGCCAUGGCCCCGGCAUGAUUUAUGAUAUUCUUUACAAAUUUCAAAUUUCUUAACGACUCUAAAUAAAAUGUCAAUAAUUCAAACAAUCCAGAAAAUAUUCGAUUGGGAAAACGUCCUUAUAUGAUUAUACUGUGUUUUCUGGUGCAGUUCGUUACACUUUUCCCUUACACAACGCCCCGGGUAUUGUACCUAAAUCCGUAUUCAGAUGUGCAGCAAUUUUGGAAAACCAUCGCAUUACAAGAUUUAAAAGAUCAUUGCGGGAUGAAUCCAAAGGAACGAAGACUCAAACCUCGCAUAGUCAAGGGUUCAACAGCUUCAUUCACGGAUCAUUUUAAUUUGGUAUUUUU